UUGUCAGUAAUCUGUAGGUGUUGUGUCUGGUGACUUGAAUAAUAUGAACAACUUGUCAGUAAUCUGUAGGUGUUGUGUCUGGUGACUUGAAUAACAUGAACAACUUGUCAGUAAUCUGUAAGUGUUGUGUCUGGUGACUUGAAUAACAUGAACAACUUGUCAGUAAUCUGUAAGUGUUGUGUCUGGUGACUUGAAUAACAUAAACAACUUGUCAGUAAUCUGUAGCUGUUGUGUCUGGUGACUUGACUUGAAUAACAUGAACAACUUGUCAGUAAUCUGUACGUGUUGUGUCUGGUGACUUGACUUGAAUAACAUAAACAACUUGUCAGUAAUCUGUAGCUGUUGUGUCUGGUGACUUGAAUAACAUGAACAACUUGUCAGUAAUCUGUAAGUGUUGUGUCUGGUGACUUGAAUAACAUGAACAACUUGUCAGUAAUCUGUAGGUGUUGUGUCUGGUGACUUGAAUAACAUGAACAACUUGUCAGUAAUCUGUAAGUGUUGUGUCUGGUGACUUG